CCUACGGGUGGCAGCAGUGAGGAAUAUUGGUCAAUGGCCGAGAGGCUGAACCAGCCAAGUCGCGUGAGGGAAGACUGCCCUACGGGUUGUAAACCUCUUUUAUCGGGGAGCAAAGAGAGCCACGUGUGACUUAUUGCGUGUACCUUAUGAAUAAGCAUCGGCUAACUCCGUGCCAGCAGCCGCGGUAAUACGGAGGAUGCGAGCGUUAUCCGGAUUUAUUGGGUUUAAAGGGUGCGUAGGCGGUUGUUUAAGUCAGUGGUUAAAUGGCGGGGCUCAACCCUGUAUUGCCAUUGAUACUGUAAGACUUGAGUGCACACGAGGUAGGCGGAAUGCGUGGUGUAGCGGUGAAAUGCAUAGAUAUCACGUAGAACUCCGAUAGCGAAGGCAGCAUACCAGCGUGCGACUGACGCUGAUGCACGAGAGCGUGGGUAGCGAACAGGAUUAGAUACCCUAGUAGUC
rnacentral:rRNA from 1 species